rnacentral:rRNA from 1 species
ACGGGUGAGUAACGCGUGAGAAUCUGGCUUAAGGACGGGGACAACCACUGGAAACGGUGGCUAAGACCCGAUAUGCCGAGAGGUGAAAGUAUUUUUAGCCUUGAGGGGAGCUCGCGUCUGAUUAGCUAGUUGGUGGGGUAAGAGCCUACCAAGGCGACGAUCAGUAGCUGGUCUGAGAGGAUGAUCAGCCACACUGGGAAUGAGACACGGCCCAGACUCCUACGGGAGGCAGCAGUGGGGAAUUUUCCGCAAUGGGCGAAAGCCUGACGGAGCAAUACCGCGUGGGGGAGGAAGGCUCUUGGGUUGUAAACUCCUUUUCUCAGGGAAGAAAAAAAUGACGGUACCUGAGGAAUCAGCAUCGGCUAACUCCGUGCCAGCAGCCGCGGUAAUACGGAGGAUGCAAGCGUUAUCCGGAAUCAUUGGGCGUAAAGCGUCCGCAGGUGGCACUUCAAGUCUGCUGUCAAAGGUCGGGGCUUAACUCCGAACAGGCAGUGGAAACUGAAGCGCUCGAGUGCGGUAGGGGCAGAGGGAAUUCCUCUGUAGCGGUGAACCGUGUUAGAUCAGGAAGAACACCCUUGGCGAAAGCGCUCUGCUAGCCACAACUGACA